UUCUUUAUUGUAUAUAUCUUUGAGUGUAGCACUAAAAAUUUGAGAAAAUAAUAAAACGUGUCAAGCUCUUUCAAGUAUACACCUGCUCUAUUAAUUUUGUAUACCAAGCUUUACUAAAUGUAAGAAAAUGUACUAAUUACAGUGUGCAACCAAUAUUUCGCUAGGCAAGAACGAUUUACCAAAUUAUCAAUACAACAACUAGUACGUUGUGAUUUUUAUAACUAGUUGCAAAUAUACAGUUUUGAUAUAGUACAUAUUUGUUGAGGGAAUUGUUGCUGUAAAAGCAUUGCCAGCUCAUAUUAAAUAAAAUAUUUCCUUUGAAAGCGACAGUCCAAAAAAUUGAAUGAGAAUCUGUGUACAGAAAAAAUAGAAUUU